CGAUUAAAUGGCUGAAAUUUAGGUAAUAGAUUGUAAAUUUAUUUAUGAAGUAAAAUAACUUCUUUAAUCA
rnacentral:tRNA from 1 species